UACGGGGGGGGGCAAGCGUUGUUCGGAAUUACUGGGCGUAAAGGGCUCGUAGGCGGCCAACUAAGUCAGACGUGAAAUCCCCAGGCUCAACCUGGGAACUGCGUCUGAUACUGGAUGGCUUGAAUCCGGGAGAGGGAUGCAGAAUUCCAGGUGUAGCGGUGAAAUGCGUAGAUAUCUGGAGGAACACCCGUGGCUAAGGCGGCUCUCUAGUACGGUACUGACGCUGAGACGCGAAAGCGUGGGGAGCAAACGGG
rnacentral:rRNA from 1 species